CGGGGUGCAGCAGGCGCGAAAACUUUACAAUGCCGGCAACGGCGAUAAGGGAACCUCGAGUGCCAGGUUACAAAUCUGGCUGUCGUGAUGCCUAAAAAGCAUUGCAUAGCAAGGGCCGGGCAAGACCGGUGCCAGCCGCCGCGGUAACACCGGCGGCUCGAGUGGUAACCGUUAUUAUUGGGUCUAAAGGGUCUGUAGCCGGCCGGGUAAGUCUCUUGGGAAAUCUGGCAGCUUAACUGUCAGGCUUUCAGGAGAUACUGCCUGGCUCGGGGCCGGGAGAGGUGAGAGGUACUUCAGGGGUAGGGGUGAAAUCUUGUAAUCCUUGAAGGACCACCAGUGGCGAAGGCGUCUCACCAGAACGGACCUGACGGCAAGGGACGAAAGCUAGGGGCACGAACCGGAUUAGAUACCCGGGUAGUCCUAGCCGUAAACGAUACUCGCUAGGUGUCGGCCACGGUGCGACCGUGGUCGGUGCCGUAGGGAAGCCGUGAAGCGAGCCACCUGGGAAGUACGGCCGCAAGGCUGAAACUUAAAGGAAUUGGCGGGGGAGCACAAGGGCGAAUGCGG
rnacentral:rRNA from 1 species